UACGUAGGGUGCGAGCGUUGCCCGGAUUUAUUGGGCGUAAAGGGCGCGUAGGCGGCCACGCACGUCCGUUGUGAAAUCGCUCGGCUCAACUGGGCGGGGUCAGCGGAUACGGCGUGGCUGGAGCAAGCUAGGGGGCAAUGGAAUUCCCGGUGUAGUGGUGGAAUGCGUAGGUAUCGGGAGGAACACCAGUGGCGAAGGCGGUUGCCUGGAGCUUUGCUGACGCUGAUGCGCGAAAGCGUGGGGAGCGAUCCGG
rnacentral:rRNA from 1 species